ensembl:snRNA U6 U6 spliceosomal RNA
CUGUUUCAGCAGCAUAUACACUAAAAUCGGAAUGAAAAAGAGGAGAUUAGCAUGUCCCCGUGCAGGGAUGACAUGCAAAUUCAUGAAGUGUUCUAUACCUUU